rnacentral:rRNA from 1 species
GGAUUAAAUUAUUUAAUUUAAAUUUAAUUUUGAUUUUGUUAUAAAAAAAAUAAUUUUAUAUUAAUUUAUUUAGUAAGAUAUAAUUAGUAAAAAAUGAUAGAUUAUAAGUAAAGUGAUUGGAUGUUGAAAUAUUUUGAAAUAAUUAUAUAUUUAAAAGAAAAAUUUAAUUUUUGUACCUUGUGUAUCAGGGUUUAUUAAAUAAUAAUAAUAUAGUUUAAUUUUCUCGAAUUUAAAAGAGCUAAAAAAUUAUAAAUUUUAUUGUGGUAAAAAUAUUUAAAAUAAUUUUUUAGUAAUGAAACGUUAUUCGUUUUUAAAUUUAUCUAGUUAUUUAAGAAAUAAAUUUAAUUUAGUUAAUUAUUGUAAUUAUUAUAAAUUUUUAUUUAAAUUAAUAUAAUUAAUUAAUAUUUUAAGGGAUAAGCUUUAAAAUAAAACUUUAAAAAUUAAAUUAAUGAAUUAUAAAAGUAAGUAGGAUUGGUAGUUUUUUUUAUUAUAAGUGUGUUAUAACAAACUUUUAUUUUUAAAUUUAAUUUUUAUAUAAUUUUAAAUUUUUUAUUAAAUUUAUUAAUAUAAUUUUAUAAUUUAUGUAAUAAUGAUAAAAUUAGUAUAGUUGUUUAUAAUGUAUUAAUUAAUUUAUUGUUUUAGGUUAAAUUAAGGAACUCGGCAAAAUAUUUUUCCGCCUGUUUAUUAAAAACAUGUCUUUAAGAUUAUAAUUUAAAGUCUGGCCUGCCCUAUGAAUUAUUUUAAAUGGCUGCGGUACCCUGACCGUGCAAAGGUAGCAUAAUAAUUAGUUUUUUAAUUGGGAACUGGUAUGAAAGGUUGGACGAGAAAAAGACUGUCUCAAUUUAAUUUUAAUUAGAAUUUUAUUUUUAAGUAAAAAAGCUUAAAUAAGUUUAAAAGACGAGAAGACCCUAUAGAGUUUUAUAUACAUUAUUAUAGUUAAAAAUUUAAGAAUUGUAGAUUUAAUUAUAGUGGUUUGUAUUUGAUUGGGGCAAUUAAGAAAUUAAAUUAAUUUUUUUUAAUAAUUAACAUUGAUAUAUGAUUAAGUGAUCCAUAAAUAGUUAUGAUUAAAAGAUUAAAUUACCUUAGGGAUAACAGCGUAAUUUUUUUUAGAGUUCUUAUCGAAAAAAAAGUUUGCGACCUCGAUGUUGGAUUAAAAUUAACUUUUGGCGCAGUAACUAAAAGGUUAGGUCUGUUCGACCUUUAAAAUUUUACAUGAUCUGAGUUUAAACCGGUGUAAGCCAGGUUGGUUUCUAUCUUUAAAAUAUUUAAAUAUUUUUGUACGAAAGGACCAAAUAUUUAUAAUAAUUUAUUAUGUAAGAAUAAUAUUAAUAUAAGAAAAAUUACUUUGGCAGAAUAGUGCUU